GAGAGAGAAUCCCAAGCAGGCUCCACGCUGUCAGCACAACUCGCAAAGCGUGAGAUCAUGAUGUGAGCUGAAGUCGGGCGCUUUACCAACUGGGCCACCCACGUGCCCCUGUUAUUUGAUUCAAAUUAACUUAUACACACAGGAAAAUAAGGUGAGUUUGUAUACAUCCUGCGGGUCCAUCUACAAUUUCUCCUGGCACGUUAACAAUUUGAAGGGAUUAUGGUUCAAGGUCAGAUCAGGACUAAAGAUAAAAACAUCAGCAAUAUAUAAAGACCUGAAGAAAAAAACAUGCAAAAUCUGCUAGAAGCAUCCUACUCCAGUACAAGAAACCGGUGACUUAGUCUUCGUUCUCCAGCAUAAGCUACCCGGGAAGCUGUGAGGAUAGACAGAGAAGGAGCAAGGAAAUUUCUCCCUGUAUUCAAAUACUAACUGAUGAAGAAGGUUACCCCUGAGCUGGAGUUUUCAUUUUGAUCACAUGGUCUCUACUAGAAGUCAAUGUCUUCAAAGCCCCGUAACUCUGAGGGCCUGUAAAGAUGCACAGGUGAUGGCUCUGAGUGGUGAUGCCCACGCAAAGGGCUAGAACUCACCCGAGGAUCAUUAUUGCUUUAAUUAGGGCUCUGGAUGUGGCGUCCCCAAGGGCUUAAAAGAGUUGUCGCUGACCUUUUUUGCCUCAUAAACCCUGUGUUCUAGCCCAUGAUUUUGCAGAAUAUAGAGUUUUUCAGAACCCAUGUGGAGUACUUUACAUUAUUUUAUGCUGCUGCAGGGAAGCAUUAUUCCGAUUUCCAAGGGUCUCUGCUGACAACAAUAACUUUAAAUUGUUUCAACAAUCCAGACUCUGAGUUAAAAGUAUCGAUCCUUCUGAGAUAUUGUGAGGUUAUGUAAUGGGCAUCCCUUUCCUCACGUCUUUUGCCUGUAGAAACAGGUCAGGCCUGGGGUCAGUGAGUGUGAUCGCCCCGAUUCACUGAGCAAAGCAGGUGAGAAGGAGCCGGGAAGGGUCAAAGCGAAUGCUGAGGUUUUGGAGUUUCCAGCCAAUUUCAUAGUCCUGGGCGCGUGAAAGCCUUCCCACAAAACACAGGAAAACAUCUACUCUCUUACCUUUACUCGUAUGUUACCGCAGAAGAAGAGUUUUGCUUUUUGGUGUUUUUUUUUUUUAAUCAAUAUUCAUCUCUAGUUUAUUACUGCUUUGCUGAAGUUAAAAUUUAACUUUGGUGCAACUGAAUGAUCUAUGGUGACACCAAUCACCCAGUGAUCCCGACAUGCUGCUUGAUCUCAGGAGGUACAAAUCUAUCCCACUGUUUGAAUGGACAAUGCAGAUACCAGCGCCCUCAGAAGAUGGGGCUAACGAGGCCUGCUGUUGGGCACUGAAUGUUUGUGGCCCUCUCCCCGGUUCAUACGCUAAAGCCCCAAAACCUAGUACAGCUACGUUUGGAGAUAGGCCCCUAAGAAAGUACUUAGGGCUACUUCAGGUUAAAUGAGGUUCUAAGGGUGGGCCCUGAUCCCAUAGGAUUAGUGUCCUUUUAAAAAGGAACCAGAGCCUGCUUGUUAGCUCACACUUUCUCUCUCCCUGCAGGUGCUCACAGGAAAGGCUAGGUCCGCAAGCUAAGAGUCCUCACCAACAGGGGAAACCAGGCCAUGAUCUGGGGACUUCCAGCCUCCAGAACUAUGAGAAAAUAACUUUUUUAUAUCAUUUAAGCUGCCCAGUCUACAGCCCAAAUACACUAACACCCUUGGGGUCAGUUGGCAAGGCAGCCAAUGGGAAUGGAGAGUUGCCAAAACUCUAUUCCUUUACUCUGGUGCUAAUAUCUACCUUGCCGGUAAAUAUUCGAAUUGCAAGGCAUUUGGAUGGUGAAAAUAUUACUUCAAAUUCAGAAGUAGAAAUGCAUAAUCAUGAAAAAUAUAAACACCGUGUUAGUUUAUAAUAUUGCCUUGCAAAAUUUCCAACCUAAGAAUUUCUUUUGAAAUUAGGCUUUUCAAUGAGCAUCAUUCAGGAGUCCAUCUUUGACCAUGUAUAAAUCAAAGUGCUGUGCUAUUUUCAGAUGAAUAUGCUACCAUGGAAACAUAUGUGAGGUCACCACAAGAGCUCCAUUGCUAUGCAAUAUAUGGAAUGUGGGUUUACAUUUCUUGAAUGAUAGGUAAUAAUGUCAAGCUUUGAAUGGAAACAGAUAAUGUUGUACACAUAAAAUCCACCAGCGUCUCUGGAGUCCUUCUGCCACAUUUAUUGAUGUCUUGGGAACAAGUGCCUGUUCCUAACCUAUCCCACUACGUCGUGUGUCAAACAAUAGCCAAAGUAUGGAAAGAGCCCAAAUGUCCAUCGAUGGACGAAUGGAUAAAGAAGAUAUGGUCACCACCCACAGGCUGGCCCCACCAUUGACGCUUUACUCUGGAGUUGAGGGAUGUAACCUCUCCAAGUGAAUCACCACAAACCAAAAAACCAAAAACAGAAGCAGAAGAAAUACGUCCUAACUCAUUCUGCAAAGUCAGCAUUACCAUAAUACUAAAACCGGACAAAGAUAUUAUAAGAAAGAAAAAUGAGAGACCAAAAUCUGUCCUGAACAGAGAUGCAGACUCUCAGUGAAAUAUCAGCAAAUCAAAAUCUACGUGUAAAAAGAAUUAUAAAUCACAACUGAGUGAGACUGACACCAGGUGUGCAGGGCUAGAUCAACAUUCCGAAAUGAAGGGCUGUUCCAUGACAUCAACAGGCUGAAAUAGAAAAAUCAUAUGACCAUUUUAGCCAAUGCAGAAAAAACAUUUUACAAAAUUCAAUACUCACAAUUAAAAAAAAAAGAAAUCCCAGAAAAUUAGCAGUAGAGGAGCAUCUUCUCCAGUUGACAGAAAACUACUAUGAAACACCCACAGUUAAUAUUUUCCUUAAUGGUAAGAAGCUAGGGGCUUUCCCCCUAAGAUUGGAAACAUCAUACUGUAAUUCCUGUAGAAUUUAAUUACACAAGAAAAAGAAAUAAA